AUUGAACGCUGGCGGCAUGCUUUACACAUGCAAGUCGAACGGUAACAGGCCGCAAGGUGCUGACGAGUGGCGAACGGGUGAGUAAUGCAUCGGAACGUGCCCAGUCGUGGGGGAUAACGCAGCGAAAGCUGCGCUAAUACCGCAUACGAUCUAUGGAUGAAAGCGGGGGACCGUAAGGCCUCGCGCGAUUGGAGCGGCCGAUGUCAGAUUAGGUAGUUGGUGGGGUAAAGGCUCACCAAGCCGACGAUCUGUAGCUGGUCUGAGAGGACGACCAGGCACACUGGGACUGGGACACGGCCCAGACUCCUACGGGAGGCAGCAGUGGGGAAUUUUGGACAAUGGGCGCAAGCCUGAUCCAGCAAUGCCGCGUGCAGGAAGAAGGCCUUCGGGUUGUAAACUGCUUUUGUACGGAACGAAACGGCUCUGGUUAAUACCCGGGGCUAAUGACGGUACCGUAAGAAUAAGCACCGGCUAACUACGUGCCAGCCGCCGCCGUAAAAC
rnacentral:rRNA from 1 species